GCAGUCGAGCGCGAAUAGGGGCAACCCUUAGUAGAGCGGCGCACGGGUGCGUAACACGUGGAUAAUCUGCCUGGAUGCUCGGGAUAACCAGUCGAAAGAUUGGCUAAUACCGGAUAAGCCCACGGUUUCUUCGGAGACUGAGGGAAAAGGUGGCCUCUGUAUACAAGCUAUCACAACCAGAUGAGUCCGCGGCCCAUCAGCUAGUUGGCGGGGUAAUGGCCCACCAAGGCAACGACGGGUAGCUGGUCUGAGAGGACGAUCAGCCACACUGGAACUGAGACACGGUCCAGACUCCUACGGGAGGCAGCAGUGGGGAAUUUUGCGCAAUGGGCGAAAGCCUGACGCAGCAACGCCGCGUGUGUGAUGAAGGUCUUCGGAUUGUAAAGCACUUUCGACCGGGACGAAAACCCGUAGCCCAACACGCUACGGCUUGACGGUACCGGGAGAAGAAGCACCGGCUAACUCUGUGCCAGCAGCCGCGGUAAUACAGAGGGUGCAAGCGUUGUUCGGAAUUAUUGGGCGUAAAGCGCGUGUAGGCGGCGUGACAAGUCGGGUGUGAAAGCCCUCAGCUCAACUGAGGAAGUGCGCCCGAAACUGUCGUGCUUGAGUGCC
rnacentral:rRNA from 1 species